GAUGAACGCUGGCGGCGUGCCUAAUACAUGCAAGUCGAGCGAAGCGGGGCCGGGUGAGUAACACGUGGAUAACCUCCUAUAAGACUGGGAUAACUUCGGGAAAACGGAGCUAAACCGGAAACUUAUCGAUGGAUCCGCACUGCAUUAGCUAGUUGGUAAGGUAACGGCUUACCAAGGCAACGAUGCAUAGCCGACCUGAGAGGGUGAUAGGCCACACUGGAACUGAGACACGGUCCAGACUCCUACGGGAGGCAGCAGUAGGGAAUCUUCCGCAAUGGGCGAAAGCCUGACGGAGUAAUGCCGCGUGAGUGAUGAAGGUCUUCGGAUCGUAAAACUCUUUUAUUAGGGAAGCGUUACCUAAUCAGAAAGCCACGGCUAACUACGUGCCAGCAGCCGCGGUAAUAC
rnacentral:rRNA from 1 species